rnacentral:rRNA from 1 species
UACAGAGGGUGCGAGCGUUGUUCGGAAUUACUGGGCGUAAAGCGCGCGCAGGCGGCUUCUUAAGUCCAUCGGUGAAAUGCCGGGGCUCAACCCCGAGCCGGCCGAGGAUACUGGGAGGCUGGAGACGAGUAGAGGCAAGCGGAAUUCCGGGUGUAGCGGUGGAAUGCGUAGAGAUCCGGAAGAACACCGGAGGCGAAGGCGGCUUGCUGGGCUUGGUCUGACGCUGAGGCGCGAAAGCGUGGGGAGCAAACGGG